rnacentral:piRNA from 1 species
CACAGACAUACAGGCAAAAUACCCACAUA